AAGAUGCACUCUGAGCCUUCUUCAUUACGAGAUCCUGGAAGCACUGAUCAAUGUGUCAGGGUCCUGGGUCUGAGUGACCCUGGACCCUGAGCAGUUAUGGACUUGUCUUGUAUUGCAUGUAUAUUUGGUGUUGCUGUCCCUCUUCUCCCUGUUUGCGGAUGUGUGUAUGUGUUUCUGCAGGCGCCUUCAGGCCUGGUGGGUGUGGCUCUGCUGGCGGACUGGCCACACCCGAAGCUCCUGCCACACACCUGCUGUCAUUCAGGGCUCGUGGGGGAACUAUUUAGGAGAGUGUUGGAGCUCCCACCGGCGCGGGAUCAUUACGUUAGACUCCCAAGAGGAACGUGGAGAGGAAGGGCAGCACGCACAGGGUGUGCAGAAACUCUACAGCGGGGAGCACGAACACAGACGUCUGAGUGGGAGACACUCACGGGAGUCUUGGGGAGCAACAGGGAUGAAUGGUGCAUUUAUUGUUAACUUCACUUUAAAUAAAUCUGUCUUUAUUCAGAGCUCCGCGGCUGGGUCCUCCUUUCCCUGACACCUGAGCUACAGGGGUGGCUGUAGCUCAGGUGUCAGAGCAGGUCAGCCACUAAUCAGAAGGUGGUUCGAUCCCAGGCUGCCUCCUGGCUGCAUGCCAAAUAUCCUUGGGCAAGAUACUAACCCCAUGUUGCCUACUGGUGAUGGUCAGAGGUGGCCAGUGCACCACCGAGCCAGUCCAUCCUGGACUUUCUGCUUUCUACCCUCCACUUCCACUCUCCUACUCAGGCUGCUCACUGGCCCGGGCAGCCGGUGGAUUCACAGCCUGACACGCCGGCCCCGACGUCUACACGCCGCCUGCGCUCCUCAUCACAGCCGGAUUCCUGGACAUCUCAAGAGCCGGCUGGGCCGCCAUUCUGCCAUCAUCUUCACCACCUGCUACGUCGCUACCCGGACCUGCUCAGCCUGGAGCUCAGCGAGCCGAGGCCAGAGCCUCCGCCGGAGGUGGAGCUCAGCGAGCCGGAGCAGGAGCUCAGCGAGCGGGAGGAGCCUGCACCGCCACCAGAGGAGCUCAGCGAGCAGGAGGAGUCCGCGCUGCCCGCGCAAGACCUCGGAGAGCUGGAGGGGCCAGCACGUCCGCGACCCGCCCGGCCAGCACGUCCACGAACGGCACGUCCGCAACCAGCACAUCGUAGAUCAGGUGCCACAUCUCGUGGUCGCUCGUCGGAGCUACGCCGCAGGCCGCUGGAGGAGCAGCGCCGCCACUGGACCCGGGGCAGGCCGCCGGAGAUGCAGCGCCGCCACCGCCACUGGACCCGGGGCACACUGUAAAAUCUAAUUAGUUCACAGAACUCAAAACUAUGUAAACUCGUUGCCUCAAAAAAAAAAAGUAAAGCUUACUUAAGAUGACUGUUAGGACAACUUAUUCAUUGCAAGUCUGCAGUAUUAAGAAUAACUUGAUAUUUCCAACUGUACAAUACUAAUUGUUUACCUACUGACAAACAUUUCAAGUUCAACUAAAUGAAAAAAACAAUUUGUGGUAAUCUGAAUAUGAUUAAAAAUAAUUAACUACACUUUUUGUAAUGAUGUUAAAAUCAGCCCAACUUUUAUUUUCAAA
ensembl:lncRNA